AUAUGUUUUCAAACUUGACUAAACUAACCAAAAAGGAAAAUGGAGAAUAAUGGAGAAAAUAAUUAAAAAUAUCUAAUAAAAAAUAACAUAGCAUAGUAAAUAACUUAAAAAUUAGGGUAAAAUCCAAUUUUUUAAUAAUAGGGUCCUGCUUUGAUAUUAUAGAAGUGGUACAAACUAUUAGUUUAUUUCUGGAGGUGAAUUUUAAACUUCGUAAAGAAACGUGAAACAGAAGCAAGCUAUGAAACUUGUGAAACUUAUAGAACCACUCUGUUUUGUACUUUUGUCUAUCACACAAAUCUGGCCAUUAGUAAUUUAGUACACACCCUAUGUUGGUGAAAAUUUGGCAUAGUUUCUUGAAAAUUCUUUGUGUACGCAAAGUGUAAGUUCCCUCAGUAAAAUACAAUUUUUUUUGUAUUUUAAAAACAUCUCAGUAUUUUUAAUCGAGCCUUACCCUACGUUUCAGUUGGGUUGAUUUAGAUAUGCCCUUUAUUGGGAUCUUUGAGACAGAGAUGUUCUGAGAUCACGUUCUUAUAACAGAGUUCAGAUGUCAUUCCGGUGGUUUAAGACUAUUUGGUCUUGUUAAUCAGGGUGUGGUUGGUCUAGGAGAUGCCUGAACAUUUGAGACACAUAUCUCGACCUUUAAAUUUACUUUUAGAUGUCAGCAAGUACAAUAUUAAAUUUUACUUCAUGAGUGGAUACACGAAGCUGUGAACACAUUUACUCCUCACUUUUGCAUUGUUCUGGAUGACAUGAUGAGUGAUUAUUACAGACCUGAAGACAAAGUUCUUUUUUUUUUUUUUUGAACACAGACAAAGUUCUUUUAAAAUUAUUAAAAUAGGAGUCUGAACGCUUAAGUCUUUGAACCGAAUUAUCCAACAACACAAAGUUUUGUGAAAAAUCACAAUCAACGUAGCAUCUCUCUGGUGUCUGUAUCUUUGAUCACCUUCAGUGCCAUGGUUUUUCAGUGCUGAGAUCUGGGAUGCUCUCCGUAGCUGUUACCUGUAACAAAUGUGGGAAAGGGUAGGAUGUUAUAUAAAUUACUCUGUUUUUGGGAGUUUGUUGAUUAGGAUACGGAUGUCAGCUUACAUGGCUGAGAUUACUUCUGGGUGCAAAGGACAAUUUGAGAAAUUUCGAGUAUAUAUUUAUUUUUGAAUUAAGUGUGGUUUCUACUUCACUUUGGAGUUUAGGCUAAAGCGAAAGGAUGUAUAGUGUCUGUUGGGGAUAACUGUAUCCUCUGGAGAAAAACUCUAUCUCCAGCAUGAGUCCCUGUCAAAAGCUCAGCCUCUAAGACUCUGUGUCCCAGCCGUGAAAUAAACAUCCGUGUUCCAUUUGCAUAGUCCAUUAUGCUGAUCAAGAUUGCCUAACAUCAUCACAUGAGCACCAACCUUCAGACAUAGUUUAUGGGCUGACAAACCUGGGAACUCCAGUGAGCUUAAGUAUUUCUGAGUGUAAUUAUUUGUCCAGUCCUCUUCUGGUAUGCUCUCAAAAGCAACACGAUCGGAAACUUAGAUAAUCUUUCUCUGCAGAAGGUACCUUAGAAAGAAGGUAGGAGUUGAUCUCGUGGCACUGGCGUUUGUUGGUCCUAAGUUAGCUCUCUCUGUUAGAUAGGUUCGGUUUAAGUAGUUAUUAACAAAGUUGGUGUAAGAAGCAUCUGAUACAGACUGAUGCGGAAGAUCGAUCUUUCUUUUUCUUUUUUGAUAAAGAAUCCUCAAUUUAAUCUUCUCCCUAGGCCUGGGCAUUCGGGUCUUCGGGUCGGGUCCGGGUCGAGUCGUCUCGGGUCCGGGUCUUUCGGGUCCAAAAAUUUUAGACCCACAUGGGUACUUCCAAAAAUUCGGGUCGGAUCUUAUCGGGUCCGGGUCGGUUCGGGUCCACAUUUCAUAUACCCGUUAAUACCCAAAAAAAAUUCGGUUCUUUAUAUCUCGGGUCGGGUCCGGGUAUUCGGGUCCAUGUUCGGGUAUAUUUCAUAUUUUUGGGUCUAAAACAUGUGAUUCGGGUCUACUUUUUACCCAUGACUUGUUGUUUUACCCGCCGGGUAUUACCUGCAAUUUUGAAAAAGAAUCUGAAACAUGAAAACUAUAAAACCUGCAGUGACAAACUUAAACAUUUAAAACUUAAAGUUACCAUUCAAAAACAAAACAAUAGACAUCCUAAUAUCAUAGUGGCUCGGUUCUAAUGUAAAAAUAUAUAGUGGCUCGGUUCCAAAAAUACCCGCUCGGGUCCCGGGUCGGUUCUGGACCCGAACCUGCUACCCACGGUUCCUCUAUUUUCAGACCCAUUCGGGUAAAUGCCUCGGUUCGGUUCUAGACCCGGACCCGAAUUUUCGGGUCGGUUCCGGUUCGGGUCCUCGGGUCCGGGUAAAAUGCCCAGGUCUACUUCUCCCUUUAACCUUCUUUAAUUUUUUUGAAACACAAACUUAUAUUAAAAUCAUCAGAAAUGUUAGGUGAUACAACUAAACGCAAUCUAAUCUGCCAAACUCUGGUUUGCCAAGCCAUGCAGCUUCGCUAUUUCUCACUCUGGAGAUCCAACGAAAGGAGAUGGUUUCGAAAAAAAUCAGCAAGUGAAAUGAUGUCGGCUGUAAUGCCGUAAAGUUUCGAAGCAAUUGAAACUGAGUUCACAGCUUGGAUGAGUUGGGUUGAAUCUAAUUCACAGCAGAUGCUUUUGUAUCCUAAUUGUCUGCAGCUCCUUUAACCUUCUUUCUUUGAUGAUUUCUUUGAUGGAAAAGAAAUCUCAAAGCCUUCCUUAAUCUCUCCUAAUGAUGGUAACAAUUCGUGUACCGUGUAAUAUAGAGACUCUUUUUUUUACUUUUGAUAGAAUGAUGUACGAAUCAACACAACUCUUUUGUUCUUUUAACCACACCACUCAUCGUACAUAUACAGUAUUAAAUCUUAUAAGUUAUAAUAAUAUAUUCCAUUAUAAUUACCUUUUGCAUAUAUGUAUAUGAUCAUGAGACUAAAAACAUUUAUAAACAUAAAGUAAAGUAGAAAGAUUAUCAAUACAUCCGUAUUCUAAUUAAUUUAUCAAAACUGAUCUUACACUAUGGUCUUUUAUAUUAGAAUUUAAAACCUCACUUUAUAUAUAUAUAUAUUUUUUUUGUCAGCCGUCCAUUAAACCUAGAUCAAAUGGUGGUCAGAUGUAUCGAUUCUCCGGGGAGCAUCUUCAUAUGUCCGGGGAGCUUCUUUUGCCAGUGUAUCUGCACGUCCAUUCUUCUUCCGAGAAAUAUGAACCUCACUUUAUAUAAAGAGAAAUUAGGCUGUAUACCCACAAAACAAUUCAUAAUUAACUCUAUAACAAAAAAAAAGUACCUCCAUUAUUUAUGAAAUAUAUACCAUAUUACCCCUUUGUUUACCGGUUAAUGAAAGAGAAAAUAUUUUUUUUUCUUCUUCGAUUAUCAUCUACCACCACUCUUUUUCCAUCUCCACCGCCUUAUCCUCUGUCACUCUCAUCACCUUCUGUGUUUUAUCUUUUUAUUGUGUCUUUAAUCAAUACUUUUUUCUAUAAUCAAUAUCUCAAUUUUUCAUAAUUAUUAUCAUCUUAUUCAUAUUCACAUUCAUCAUUGAGCUACCAACGACAUAGCCAUCACUACUAACCCAGAUCCAUAAUCUCUACUACAUAUGUUGUCUCUGUUUCUAAAAUCUACAGAUCGUGAUGGCAUUACGGUCGAGUCACGCUCAUUUGUCAUGUGUGGGCCUGGAUAGAACGUAAAACAUUGACCCUUCUAAUUAUUGAAAGUAACUCCGUCGACACAAUCGAAGCUUCUCACAAGAAACAGUCUGAUCACCUUACCGGCCACGAUAAAUGGAGGCGUUACGGAGUGAGGCUCAAUUCGAAGGGUUGUCUCUAUAGCUUGCAAAACCUGUCACGAUUCCUCAUUGAAUGCAUCUCCAUUACUUCCUUUCGGUGAAUCUUCGACUAUAAAAGAGCUGCGCCUGUUGUACCGUUCUGCGAAGCAAAGAAAUAUGAAGCACGGUGUCAAGCUUAUGGGUGUAGACAAGGAGAUGGGCAUUAAACUGCUAUCAAGUUCUGUUAUCAAGCAUUACUCCACAGCCAUGGAGACUGAUGAUGAAUAAAUAUCUUAGAUCACAAAUCGUCCUAUUGGAUCCUCAUGAUGUUCAUCUGGAGAUGGGAAAGGUAGUAUUACUUCCACUGUCAAGCUGAUUGAGUAGUGAUAUGUUUCUUCCCAACAAAGUGAUAGACUUGAUUGAUGAAGAUGGGUCUCUGACUCAACUAUCUCAUGCUCAGAUACUAAGGCAAAUGAAGUGAAGAAAGCUGAGACUGAAGAUGGUCAAUCACUUACUGCCACUGAACCCAAGAUCUAACAUUGUCUCCACCCGGACAUGAGUCCUGGUUGAGAAAGUCUGAUGAAUAUAGCUAUCUUUCCAAGAUGGGCAGACUUCACAAAGGAGUUAUUAUCCGGACGAUUCGAUGUGUUGGGCUCAAGAACUAAAACCUCCCAAUUCAAUGUUAUGAAUUUUCUUUAAAGUAUUCUAUGUACUAAUCUUUUGUAUACUGUUUACAAAAAAAAAAAAACUAAUCUUUUGUAUAGUAUUUUAUUUCAUA